rnacentral:rRNA from 1 species
GUGGGGAAUCUUCCGCAAUGGACGAAAGUCUGACGGAGCAACGCCGCGUGAGUGAAGAAGGUUUUCGGAUCGUAAAGCUCUUUCGUUAGGGACGAACGUGCUCUUUGUGAAUAAUGAGGAGUAAUGACGGUACCUAAAUAAGAAGCCACGGCUAACUACGUGCCAGCAGCCGCGGUAAUACGUAGGUGGCAAGCGUUGUCCGGAAUUAUUGGGCGUAAAGCGCGCGCAGUCGGGAUAUCAAGUCUGUCUUAAAAGUGCGAGGCUCAACCUCGUGAGGGGACAGAAACUGGUAUUCUUGAGUGUCGUAGAGGAAAGUGGAAUUCCAAGUGUAGCGGUGAAAUGCGUAGAGAUUUGGAAGAACACCAGUGGCGAAGGCGACUUUCUGGACGAUGUCUGACGCUGAGGCGCGAAAGCCAGGGUAGCGAACGGGAUUAGAAACCCGGGUAGUCC